GAUGAAGAACGCAGCGAAAUGCGAUACGUAAUGUGAAUUGCAGAAUUCAGUGAAUCAUCGAAUCUUUGAACGCAUAUUGCGCUCUUUGGUAUUCCGAAGAGCAUGCUUGUUUGAGUAUCAGUAAACACCUCAAAGCUUUUGGAUUUUUUAAUCGAAAAGCUUUGGACUUGAGCAAUCCCAACACCAAUCUUUUUGAGAUCGGUGGCGGGUUGCUUGAAAUGCAGGUGCAGCUGGACAUUCUCCUGAGCUAAAAGCAUAUUCAUUUAGUCCCGUCAAACGGAUUAUUACUUUUGCUGCAGCUAACAUAAAGGGAGUUUGACCGUAUUGGCUGACUGAUGCAGGAUUUCACAAGGGUCGGCAACGAUUCUUGUUAAACUCGAUCUCAAAUCAAGUAAGACUACCCGCUGAACUUAAGCAUAUCAAUAAGGGAGGA
rnacentral:misc_RNA from 1 species